CUACGGGGUGCUCCAGUGAGGAAUAUUGCACAAUGGGGGAAACCCUGAUGCAGCAACGCCGCGUGGAGGAUGACGCAUUUCGGUGUGUAAACUCCUUUUAUAUGUCAAGAAAAUGACGGUAGCAUAUGAAUAAGCACCGGCUAACUCCGUGCCAGCAGCCGCGGUAAUACGGAGGGUGCAAGCGUUACUCGGAAUCACUGGGCGUAAAGGACGCGUAGGCGGGUUGUCAAGUCAGGUGUGAAAUCCUACAGCUUAACUGUAGAACUGCACUUGAAACUGGCAGCCUAGAGUAUGGGAAAAAAAGAUGGAAUUAGUAGUGUAGGGGUAAAAUCCGUAGAUAUUACUAGGAAUAUCAAAAGCGAAGGCGAUCUCCUGGAACAUUACUGACGCUAAGGCGUGAAAGCGUGGGGAGCAAACAGGAUUAGAUACCCCCGUAGUC
rnacentral:rRNA from 1 species